rnacentral:rRNA from 1 species
UACGUAGGGUGCAAGCGUUUGUCCGGAUUUAUUGGCGUAAAGAGCUCGUAGGCGGUCUGUCGCGUCGGAUGUGAAACCCAGGGCUCAACCCUGGGCCUGCAUUCGAUACGGGCAGACUAGAGUACGGCAGGGGAGACUGGAAUUCCUGGUGUAGCGGUGAAAUGCGCAGAUAUCAGGAGGAACACCGGUGGCGAAGGCGGGUCUCUGGGCCGGUAACUGACGCUGAGGAGCGAAAGCGUGGGGAGCGAACAGG